rnacentral:rRNA from 1 species
UACGUAGGUGGCAAGCGUUGUCCGGAUUUACUGGGCGUAAAGGGCGCGUAGGCGGCCAGCACAAGUCAGUUGUGAAAUCUCCGGGCUUAACUCGGAAAGGUCAACUGAUACUGUGCGGCUAGAGUGCAGAAGGGGCAAUCGGAAUUCUUGGUGUAGCGGUGAAAUGCGUAGAUAUCAAGAGGAACACCUGAGGUGAAGACGGGUUGCUAGGCUGACACUGACGCUGAGGCGCGAAAGCCAGGGGAGCAAACGGG